rnacentral:rRNA from 1 species
AACGAACGCUGGCGGCAUGCCUAACACAUGCAAGUCGAACGAGACCUUCGGGCCUAGUGGCGCACGGGUGCGUAACGCGUGGGAACCUGCCCUUAGGUUCGGAAUAACUCCCCGAAAGGGGUGCUAAUACCGGAUAAUGUCUUCGGACCAAAGAUUUAUCGCCUUUGGAUGGGCCUGCGUUGGAUUAGCUAGUUGGUAGGGUAAAAGCCUACCAAGGCGACGAUCCAUAGCUGGUCUGAGAGGAUGAUCAGCCACACUGGGACUGAGACACGGCCCAGAAUCCUACGGGAGGCAGCAGUGGGGGAUAUUGGACAAUGGGCGAAAGCCUGAUCCAGCAAUGCCGCGUGAGUGAUGAAAGUCUUAGGGUUGGAAAGCUCUUUUACCCGGGAUGAUAAUGACAGUACCGGGAGAAUAAGCUCCGGCUAACUCCGUG